ACAGCUAUUUUGAAUUAUCAGAUCACAAAAUUCCAUACUUUUGAGAGCAUGGUUAUUGGAAAAUUAUUUUCUUUUGGUGAUGAUGUGUUUCCUUGAUUUUUCCUGUUCCUGUAUUUUGGCUUGCUCCUUUCACAUUUGAAGUAGCUGACAUCUCCUUAAAUCUUUACCAGUUGCCUUCAGAUGGGGUAUACUAUUCAUUGGUGCUGUUAUAUUUGGGGUUUUCUCUGCUUUUGUAUAGAUAUACCUGGAUACAUACACUCUUCUUGUCCCUCUUAUGGAAGAAUUCUUAAGCUUUUGUGGCUUCCCUGGUUCUUAGCGCUCACCAGUGCCUACUAGAAUCCUCUCAUUUUCCAGAAGGUGGUGCUAUAGCUCAAGUUUGUGGUUUCUCCCUAGCCCACCUAACCUGGUCUUUCUGAUGGUGUUUACUCAACUUACUGUUGCAUUUGCACUCCAGCAUGUACAAGGAGCUGACUGCAGGGUUGGUGGAGAUGUUGGGUUAGCCCUUGGGGUAUUGGAGGUGCCCGUGGACCUGACCCAGUGGGGUGAAACUUGGGUGAAUCAUGCCCAGAGGCUUGUGGGCAGACUUCCUGAGCACUGUCAGCAGGAACUACAUUCCUUUAAUGUCCUUUGAUAUUCUUAUUUCGCUCUUUCCCAGACCACCCUAGCCCCAGUUAUAAAGGUCCCUCAGCACUGGGGUAGCCAGGCACUCACUGCUUUCCUUUCCCCCAUGAGAGGAGUUACCACUGCUGGGUAGUUCAGCCCUGUGCAGUGUUGCUUUGUGAAAGUUCCUCUUAUAGGCCUAACUGAACCAAACUUGUGUUUUUUGCUCCCAUGUUGUGCUGGAAUCUCCUCUUGGGAAGUCUGGAUUUUUGUGAAUUCUUUGUCAUCCAUUCAUAUCCACCUAGGACAGCACUCUCCAGGUUUGUCCCUUAUUGCAGCAAGAAGUUUUGAGGCAGUUUUGCUGGUCCUACAGCCUGUAACAAGGUCUGCCUGCCUCUUACUGGAUGUGCAGGUGGGCAAGACUCCUCCCAGGUCCCUUGGCAGAUGGUGCUCAUUUCUACAACUCCCACAACAGUGCUUUUGUUCACGGAUGCAUGUCUAAUAAUUCAUUGUUAAAAAAGGACAAAAAGAACAUUUUACACUAUGAUCCUGAUCAACUGAGUAGUUUUUAAGAUAGUUCUAUUAUCCCUAAUCUUUCAAUGCAAAUAAAAUCAAUUAUCACAAACUAUUUCAUGAUCCCUUAGAGUAUUCUCGGAACUGCUUUUUAGUAUUGAUAGGUGCAUCACAAAGUUGUGCAUGUUUGAGAGCAAAGAGCUGAUAUUUCAGUAGUUCCUUGUAAACAGUACUUUCUGUGAAUGAUAAUAGUACAAUAUAUUUUAUAACUAGAGGACCAUCCCAGGAGCCACUGUAACACUAGUUAUUUUCAAGGAAAUUAACUGGAAUAAAAGAAAGGCUACAAAAGAAUUUUUGUCCUGUUUUCUUAAAGUGGUAGACUGGAUCAAGAUGGCAGACAGAACCACCUACUAUCCCUCUCAAUGCUAAAUCCUAUAUAAAGUGCUAAAGCAGAAGAAAAAUAAAAUCUGCUACAGCACUGAAAAAUAGGAGCUAGCAAAAGUAGACAUUUUGAAAAAUGCCAGAAACGUCAAAAGCAGAUGGAAUCGGGAAAGGUCAACAUGGUGGCCGCCAUAAGGUGCCUCAGUAGAGUUUUGAUACAUCAUCAAAAGUAUAGUCUUUCCAAGACGGCUUAUCAGACACCUCUUUAUCCUUGUUCCGUGUAUGUUCAGGUGCCCAGCAGACAUUUUGCUGCUGCUGCAAAGCCUGCAAAGAAAAAAAAAAAGGUGUGAAAGACAAAGCAUCAGAUGAGAAAAAAGAUGAAAUAGAAAAAUAGUUCUACUCCUUUAUGGAAAGCAAACCUGAGGAUGAUGUCUACUUAAAGCACUUAUAUCCAAGGCAGAUAUAGGUGGUGGAGAAACUAUUCAGUUACUUAAGAAAUUUUAAACUCUAGGGUUUACUAAUCUACAGUAAGGUGUUUAUCUUGAUUUGACACUGGAUGUGGCACUGGGGAAGAAAAAAAAGUGGAGCCAUUUGCCAGUGUUGUUUUCCAUACCCAUUCGUUUCAGAAAUCAGUAAAGUUGCUAUAUUUACAAGGAAUUCAUCAGAGAUUAAAAUAGCAGAAGAAAGUGGAGCUGCAUUUGCAGGAGGAAUUAUUAAUCUAAUUUGGAAGAUUUUGGAUGAUGAAAUUCAAUCAGACUUUUAUGUAGCUGUUCCAGAAAUAAUGCCCGAGCUUAAUCCAUUAAAGAAAAAGCUGAAAAAAAAAUUUCCAAAACUAACUGGAAAUUCCAUUGGCCGUGACAUACCCAAAAUGCUUGAAUUAUUUAAAAUUAGACAUGAAAUUAAAGUAGACGAAGAAAGGGAGAACUUUCUCGAGACCAAAACAGCAGCACUGGAUACGCUAAGUGACCAGAUAGCUGCGAAUCUGCCAGCAGUUAUCAGUGAUGUUUGUAAGCACAGACCACUCAGUUUGGGACCUUUCGUGGGACAUUUCGUGGUACGAGCUUUCCUUCAUACUUCAACAAGUGAAGGUUUGUUGCUAAAGAUCAAGCCAUUGUUGUCUAAAGAAGUAGAAACCACAGAAAGUAACAAAGAAGAUGCCUAGGGGCGCCUGGGUGGCUCAGUCGUUAAGUGUCUGCCUUCCGCUCAGGUCGUGAUCCCAG